rnacentral:tRNA from 1 species
AUGAGAAUAGUGUUAAUGGUAGCACGACAGUCUCCAAAACUGUUUGUCUGGGUUCGAGUCCUAGUUCUCAUGCCA